UAAUUUGGGGUCAACAACCUGAAAAUCUGUCACCUCCCGGCGAGAAAGCUCAUUAAACACGCCCCCCCCCCAACGCGGCCCACGGGUCGCCUGCACAGUCGCACUGUCCACUGCGCUCGCGGAUCAAUCCCCACCACACGCGGGACGCGCCACGUAGGCUACACCGACCGGGUGGGCUGCCAAGGCGGGCUCGCGCGGUUCCCGCUGCAAGGACUGACCCGCGACCCGACGGCACGCGCCCAGGACCGGAGACUCCAGCCGCGGAGGCCAACCGCGCGGAGCCGCGUCUCCGCACCGGGCUCGCACCCCGCUCCCACCCCGCUCGGGGUCACCCAGAGCCCCACCACCCCCGGCGGUUCCUGGGCCCCAGGGCGCAAGGGGCCUCAGGGCCCAACCGCCGGCCCCGCCGCCCACCCUCGGCCGAAGGCCCCUCCGGUGUUUGAGGGCGCCCGGGCUCCUGUCUUCGCAGAAAAGUAACUCCGGGACCAGCGCAAGGGGAAAGGGAAAGCGACGCUCCCAAGGCGGCAAGCGGCCUCUUGUUGCAGAUUCCUGCUCUUUUCAAAAUAUACUUCUGCAUAAAUGGAUAAGGAAUGAACUUGUUCCUUUGCAUCUCCUAUAAGAGUGUUCCUUGGCGCAUCCUCAUUCAUCCCAGGCAAGGAGUGGCGUGUCACCUGCCAGAUGCUGCCUGACGAGAAGGCACCCCGUUCAGCUCCCCCGACCCCACCUCUGCAGCCCUGUGGGUGCUCGCAUAUGCUGUCUGCCGCGCUGUGCUUUAUGGCUGUUCAGAUGUCAACUCUUUUUUUUUAUUAUUUUAUUGAAGUAUAGUUGAUUUACACUGUUGGAUUAAUUUCUCCUGUACAGUGAAGUGACUUAGUUAUACACACAUGUAUAUUAUUUUUCAUAUUCUUGUCUGUCAUGAUUUAUCAUAGGUAUUGAAUAGAGUUAC